AGCGGCGAAAGGGAGAGUAACGAGUAGUUAUCUACCCCAAGGCCCGGAAUAGCUGCGGGAAACUGCAGGUAAUGCCGGAUAAUAUCCCCGGAUCAAAGGUGUGAUUCCGCCUUGGGAGGAGACUGCUUUGUACUAGCUUGUUGGUAGGGUAAUGGCCUACCAAGGCUACGAUGCAUAGCGGGCGUGAGAGCGUGGCCCGUCUCACUGGGACUGAAACACUGCCCAGACACCUACGGGUGGCUGCAGUCGAGAAUCUUCGGCAAUGGGCGAAAGCCUGACCGAGCAAUGCCGCGUGCGGGAUGAAGGCCUUCGGGUUGUAAACCGCUGUCGUAGAGGAGAAAGGUCUGAUGAAGAAUCAGAUUUGAUCUAUUCUAGGAGGAAGUCGGGGCUAAGUUCGUGCCAGCAGCCGCGGUAAUACGAACCCGACAAACGUUAUUCGGAAUUAUUGGGCUUAAAGGGUGCGUAGGCGGUGCGGUAAGUGCGGUGUGAAAUCCCUCGGCUCAACCGAGGGAUUGCGCCGCAUACUGCCGUGCUGGAGGGAGACAGAGGUAAGCGGAACUGAUGGUGGAGCGGUGAAAUGCGUUGAUAUCAUCAGGAACACCGGUGGCGAAAGCGGCUUACUGGGUCUCUUCUGACGCUGAGGCACGAAAGCUAGGGUAGCGAACGGGAUUAGAUACCCCGGUAGUCCUAGCCGUAAACGAUGAGCNCU
rnacentral:rRNA from 1 species